rnacentral:rRNA from 1 species
GAUGAACGCUGGCGGCGUGCCUAAUACAUGCAAGUCGAGCGAACAGACGAGGAGCUUGCUCCUCUGACGUUAGCGGCGGACGGGUGAGUAACACGUGGAUAACCUACCUAUAAGACUGGGAUAACUUCGGGAAACCGGAGCUAAUACCGGAUAAUAUAUUGAACCGCAUGGUUCAAUAGUGAAAGACGGUUUUGCUGUCACUUGUAGAUGGAUCCGCGCCGCAUUAGCUAGUUGGUAAGGUAACGGCUUACCAAGGCAACGAUGCGUAGCCGACCUGAGAGGGUGAUCGGCCACACUGGAACUGAGACACGGUCCAGACGCCUACGGGAGGCAGCAGUAGGGAAUCUUCCGCAAUGGGCGAAAGCCUGACGGAGCAACGCCGCGUGAGUGAUGAAGGUCUUCGGAUCGUAAAACUCUGUUAUUAGGGAAGAACAAAUGUGUAAGUAACUAUGCACGUCUUGACGGUACCUAAUCAGAAAGCCACGGCUAACUACGUG